AUUGAACGCUGGCGGCAGGCUUAACACAUGCAAGUCGAGCGGGGAAGGGUAGUUUGCUACCUGACCUAGCGGCGGACGGGUGAGUAAUGCUUAGGAAUCUGCCUAUUAGUGGGGGACAACAUUCCGAAAGGAAUGCUAAUACCGCAUACGCCCUACGGGGGAAAGCAGGGGAUCUUCGGACCUUGCGCUAAUAGAUGAGCCUAAGUCAGAUUAGCUAGUUGGUGGGGUAAAGGCCUACCAAGGCGACGAUCUGUAGCGGGUCUGAGAGGAUGAUCCGCCACACUGGGACUGAGACACGGCCCAGACUCCUACGGGAGGCAGCAGUGGGGAAUAUUGGACAAUGGGCGCAAGCCUGAUCCAGCCAUGCCGCGUGUGUGAAGAAGGCCUUUUGGUUGCAAAGCACUUUAAGCGAGGAGGAGGCUACUUGGAUUAAUACUCUAGGAUAGUGGACGUUACUCGCAGAAUAAGCACCGGCUAACUCUGUGCCAGCAGCCGCGGUAAUACAGAGGGUGCGAGCGUUAAUCGGAUUUACUGGGCGUAAAGCGUGCGUAGGCGGCUUUUUAAGUCGGAUGUGAAAUCCCUGAGCUUAACUUAGGAAUUGCAUUCGAUACUGGGAAGCUAGAGUAUGGGAGAGGAUGGUAGAAUUCCAGGUGUAGCGGUGAAAUGCGUAGAGAUCUGGAGGAAUACCGAUGGCGAAGGCAGCCAUCUGGCCUAAUACUGACGCUGAGGUACGAAGCAUGGGGAGCAAACAGG
rnacentral:rRNA from 1 species